GCGGUGGAGCAUGUGGUUUAAUUCGACGCAACGCGAAGAACCUUACCAGGGCUUGACAUCCCCUGACCGCGUAUGAAAGUACGUUUUCACCUCGGGUGACAGGGAGACAGGUGGUGCAUGGUUGUCGUCAGCUCGUGUCGUGAGAUGUUGGGUUAAGUCCCGCAACGAGCGCAACCCCUACGUUUAGUUGCUAACGCGUGAAGGCGAGCACUCUAGACGAACUGCCGUUGACAAAACGGAGGAAGGUGGGAUGACGUCAAAUCAUCAUGCCCCUUAUGUUCUGGGCUACACACGUGCUACAAUGGCCGGUACAGACGGACGCAAAGCCGCGAGGUGGAGCAAAUCCUAAAAAGCCGGUCUCAGUUCGGAUUGCAGGCUGCAAUUCGCCUGCAUGAAGUCGGAAUCGCUAGUAAUCGCAGGUCAGCAUACUGCGGUGAAUACGUUCCCGGGCCUU
rnacentral:rRNA from 1 species